rnacentral:rRNA from 1 species
UACCGGCGGCCCGAGUGGCGGCCGUGUUUAUUGGGCCUAAAGGGUCCGUAGCCGGCCCCGUAAGUCUCCCGGGAAAUCGGGCGGCUCAACCGUCCGCUUCCGGGAGAUACUGCGGGGCUAGGGACCGGGAGAGGCCGGGGGUACUCCCGGGGUAGGGGUAAAAUCCUAUAAUCCCGGGGGGACCACCUGUGGCGAAGGCGCCCGGCUGGAACGGGUCCGACGGUGAGGGACGAAAGCUGGGGGCACGAACCGG